ensembl:lncRNA
GUCCUGCCUAAACUUCCAGAGUGCUGGGAUAACAGGCAUGCACAUACCUGGUUUCUAUUUUUCACUUUUUUAUUUUAUUUUAUUUUAUUUUUUUUACCGGGGAUCAAACUCGGGUCCUUGUGCUUGCACAGCAGGCAGAGAAAUCACUGAGCUAAAUCCCCAGCCCCUCUAUUUUUUAUUUUGAGACAAGGUCUCACAAAGUUGCCCAGGUUGGCCUUGAGUUUGCAAUCUUUCUGUCCCAGCCUCUUGAGUGGCUGGGGUUACAGGAGUGAGCAGGAUCUGCUCUAGUCUAUUUCUCAUUUGUUCUUUGUUUUCCAAUUUCAGGCCCAGGCAAUGUGUACAGUUGUUUAGCUUUCACUGUCGCUCCCAAGAGACUGAGGGUGUUGAGGCUGGGGAUUUAGCUCAGUGGUUCCGGCACCUGUCUCCUAAGCACAAGGUCCCGAGUUCCAUCCCCAGUACCAAAGAGAUUCAGAAUGUUGAAUUAUUGUUUUUUUUUCGUUUUUUUGAGACAGUGUCUUGCCAUCUAGAUAAGGCUGGUUUUGUUUUUUUUUAAUUCUUUUAUUGGUACAUUUUAGGUAUGCAGUAUGUUUACAUUUAUCAUUGGGUGCUUUUACCUGUACAUGAUGUUAGAUAAGGCUGGUUUAGAACUCACCAUGUAGUUCAGGCUGGCCUGGAACUUGAAGUGAUCCUCCUGCCUCAGCCAGCCUCCCAAUUGCUGGGACCACAGGUGUGUCCCACCAUGCCCAGGUAGUUUUGCUGUUUUUUUAAAAAUCUACAGGAUGGAGGCGGGGAUUUGGCUCAGCGGUUUCGCCAUCCCAAAAAUCUUACUUGGUUUUGCGAUCGUACAACUGGAAUGAACACAGAACGAAUGGUCUCACGAAGCAGGUAUAGAAAGUUGGUUUUACAGACACGAGGGCUCUGGAAAGCUGAAACAGAACACAAAGCCGAUAGGUUCUAUCAGAGUUACAGCACUUCCUUGUACAGGUUGGGGCAGAGGGGACUUCCUAAUCAUGCUGGUUAUAACUAGCCUACUUGAAGAUGUCUGUUAUUUCGCUCUCAAGUUCUCGGAAGGUCAGAAAAACAACUUAGUUCUCACUUGGUGGCUUGGAACUUUAGCACGGAUAAUUCUGCUCUGGUCUGGUCCGUUAGCCUAGGGCAGGCUUGGCCCAAAGCAAUGGACACUGAACGCAUAACACGUAGAACCAGGGGGGUGGGUGUAAGAGGCCAACGUUCUUCUCUUCAUCUGGAAACUCAGAGUUCACCGGAGCAUGGAUGGGAAUCAAGACCAAGCCAAGGGCUCCGCAGGCUGAGGUGCCGCGGGUGAGAGGGCGCAGGAGCCCGGGGACCGCGCCUGGGAGGGAGGGUCGGGCUCGGGCAGAUCGCGUCGCCAGAGGAAAAGUCCGCCUCUGCCCCAGCGGUCGCCGACUGCUGUGGGGGACCCCCGGAACGCACUCGCCAGGGCCAAAGCCAGGCUCUUGACACGGCAGCCCAGAGGGGCGUCAGGCGCUACCUCGCCCAGUCGUGAAUCCGAGGGCGCCCCUUCUAGCGUCAGCAGCCGCGAC